rnacentral:rRNA from 1 species
AUUUAAAUAUAUAUAUUGGAAAAAAAAAUAAAAAAAUCGUACCAACACUAACACAAGUUGAUUGGCUGAGUAAGCUAAGAUAAAAAAUAAUAACACUAAAGGAACUCUGCAAAUUGUCUUUGUAACUUCGGGAAAAAAGAGCUAAAUAGUUUUAAAUAAAAGGGGUAGCGACUGUUUAACAAAACAUAAGACUUUGCAAAAUAGAAAUAUGACGUAUAAAGUCUGACAUCUGCCCGGUGUUGCAAGGUAAAAAUUAUAGACGUAAGUUUGUAAAUAAACCCCAAUAAACGGCGGCCGUAAUCCUAACGGUCCUAAGGUAGCAAAAUCCCUUGACGGGGUAAGUUCCGUCCUGCACGAAUGGUGUAACGACUGCCCCACUGUCUCUAGUGUUAAUUUUAUGAAUUGAAUAGACGUGAAGAUGCGUUAAAAGUACAGCUAGACGGAGAGACCCCUAAUGCACCUUUACUGUUAUCUAAUAUUAA